rnacentral:rRNA from 1 species
GUUGCUGCAGUUAAAAAGCUCGUAGUUGGAUCUCGGUAUUAUUGUUGCCUGCUGGCUUUAGAGGCACUAGCUGGCCUAGCGGUGCAUGGGUGAGCCUGUGCAGCGUGGGGUCGGCGGCCUUGGGUCGGCGUGGCGGCGGUGAUACCUUUCAGCCAUGUCUGUGGUGCAAUAUCCACAGGUGUAGGCGAGUGCCAGGCGGUGCCCUGCAACUGUGGGGUUCGUCGGCUUGUCUGCAUGCCUACGGAUGCCCUUUAAAAGGUGUCUGUGGGCGGAUGGCACGUUUACUUUGAACAAAUUUGAGUGCUCAAACCAGGCCGAUGCUGCCUGAAAAGUUUUGCAUGGAAUAAUGGAAUAGGACUUCGGUUCUAUUUCGUUGGUUUUCGGAUCCGAAGUAAUG